UACAGAGGUCCCAAGCGUUGUUCGGAUUCACUGGGCGUAAAGGGCACGUAGGCGGAUCGUUAAGUCGGGGGUGAAAUCCUGGAGCUCAACUCCAGAACUGCCUUCGAUACUGGCGCUCUUGAGUCCGGAAGAGGUGAGUGGAACUCCUAGUGUAGAGGUGGAAUUCGUAGAUAUUAGGAAGAACACCAGUGGCGAAGGCGGCUCACUGGUCCGGUACUGACGCUGAGGUGCGAAAGCGUGGGGAGCGAACAGG
rnacentral:rRNA from 1 species